AUGAACAGCCUCAAGGACGAGGAUUCCGGAUCCUAUUUCUGCGCCAAGGGUGCUGCUGCUUGGGCUGGUGAUAAUGACGCCUGUUAUCGUGACCCGGCCAUUGACCGACGGCGCGUAGUUGGUGUCACUUUGGCCCGGAGCCCUGCGGCACACAGGGGACGUGGGCACGGCCAAAGCUCAACCCGUGACCCCAAAAUCCUGACCCUUGGCCCCAAAUUGGGACCCUUUGUCCUUCUCCUCCUGCUCCUGAUGGCCCUCCCAGGGCUCCGGGCCAAAGUGACCCUGCUGGAGCCCGGGGGCACCUCCAGCCCCCCGGGGGUCCCUGCGCCUCCUCUGCCGAGCGUCCGGGUUCAGUUUCGGGAGUUAUGGAAUGUUCUGGAUCCGCCAGAGACCCGGGCAGGGGCUGGAAGAAGUCGCAGCGAUCACCAAGAAUGCUGAUUGGACCGGGUACGCGCCGUCAGUCAAGGGCCGCUUCACGAUCUCCAGGGACGACGGGCAGAACUCGGUGACGCUGACCAUGAACAGCCUCAGGGACGAGGAUUCCGGAUCCUAUUUCUGCGCCAAAGCUGCUGGUGCUGGUGCUGCUAAUGGUGCUGGUUUUAUUGACGGUGCCCGUGCUCUCCCCAUCCCCAUCCCCGGGUUUGGGGAGCUCGGUUGA